GUGGGGAAUAUUGGACAAUGGGCGAAAGCCUGAUCCAGCAAUGCCGCGUGAGUGAUGAAGGCCUUAGGGUUGUAAAGCUCUUUUACCCGGGAUGAUAAUGACAGUACCGGGAGAAUAAGCUCCGGCUAACUCCGUGCCAGCAGCCGCGGUAAUACGGAGGGAGCUAGCGUUGUUCGGAAUUACUGGGCGUAAAGCGCACGUAGGCGGCUUUGUAAGUUAGAGGUGAAAGCCUGGAGCUUAACUCCAGAACUGCCUUUAAGACUGCAUCGCUUGAAUCCAGGAGAGGUGAGUUGAAUUCCGAGUGUAGAGGUGAAAUUCGUAGAUAUUCGGAAGAACACCAGUGGCGAAGGCGGCUCACUGGACUGGUAUUGACGCUGAGGUGCGAAAGCGUGGGGAGCAAACAGGAUUAGAAACCCGUGUAGUCC
rnacentral:rRNA from 1 species